UGUCAGUCGAACGGUGAAGGAGGAGCUUGCUCCUUUGGAUCAGUGGCGAACGGGUGAGUAACACGUGAGUAACCUGCCCCAGACUCUGGGAUAAGCACUGGAAACGGUGUCUAAUACCGGAUACGAGCUUCAGCCGCAUGGCUAGGAGCUGGAAAGAAUUUCGGUCUGGGAUGGACUCGCGGCCUAUCAGCUAGUUGGUGAGGUAAUGGCUCACCAAGGCGACGACGGGUAGCCGGCCUGAGAGGGUGACCGGCCACACUGGGACUGAGACACGGCCCAGACUCCUACGGGAGGCAGCAGUGGGGAAUAUUGCACAAUGGGCGCAAGCCUGAUGCAGCAACGCCGCGUGAGGGACGACGGCCUUCGGGUUGUAAACCUCUUUUAGUAGGGAAGAAGCGAAAGUGACGGUACCUGCAGAAAAAGCACCGGCUAACUACGUGCCAGCAGCCGCGGUAAUACGUAGGGUGCAAGCGUUAUCCGGAAUUAUUGGGCGUAAAGAGCUCGUAGGCGGUUUGUCGCGUCUGCUGUGAAAACUGGAGGCUCAACCUCCAGCCUGCAGUGGGUACGGGCAGACUAGAGUGCGGUAGGGGAGAUUGGAAUUCCUGGUGUAGCGGUGGAAUGCGCAGAUAUCAGGAGGAACACCGAUGGCGAAGGCAGAUCUCUGGGCCGUAACUGACGCUGAGGAGCGAAAGCAUGGGGAGCGAACAGGAUUAGAUACCCUGGUAGUCCAUGCCGUAAACGUUGGGAACUAGAUGUAGGGACCAUUCCACGGUUUCUGUGUCGCAGCUAACGCAUUAAGUUCCCCGCCUGGGGAGUACGGCCGCAAGGCUAAAACUCAAAGGAAUUGACGGGGGCCCGCACAAGCGGCGGAGCAUGCGGAUUAAUUCGAUGCAACGCGAAGAACCUUACCAAGGCUUGACAUAUACCGGAAAAGUUCAGAAAUGUUCUCCCCGCAAGGUCGGUAUACAGGUGGUGCAUGGUUGUCGUCAGC
rnacentral:rRNA from 1 species